CGCGGUUGUCGGAUUUAUUGGGCGUAAAGCGAGCGCAGGUGGUUUCUUAAGUCUGAUGUAAAAGGCAGUGGCUCAACCAUUGUGUGCAUUGGAAACUGGGAGACUUGAGUGCAGGAGAGGAGAGUGGAAUUCCAUGUGUAGCGGUGAAAUGCGUAGAUAUAUGGAGGAACACCGGAGGCGAAAGCGGCUCUCUGGCCUGUAACUGACACUGAGGCUCGAAAGCGUGGGGAGCAAACAGGAUUAGAUACCCUGGUAGUCCACGCCGUAAACGAUGAGUGCUAGCUGUAGGGAGCUAUAAGUUCUCUGUGGCGCAGCUUAACGCAUUAGGACCUCCCCCCGGGGGGGUACGACCGCAGGGUGGAAAUUCAAGGAAAUUGAAGGGGGCCCCCCCACAACCGUGGAACCAUGUGUUUAAUUUCGGAGGCAGCGGCGAGGACCCUUACCAGGCCUUGAAAAUAUCCGGGCUAUCCUAAGAAAUAGGGGGUUCCUUUGGGAACAGGGAAAACGGGGGGGGAAGGUUUGUGGCCAGUCCGUGUCGGGAAAUUUUGGUUAAAUCCCCGAACGGGCGCAACCCUUUAUUACUGUUUGCAUCAUUAAGUGGGAAACUCUAGGGGGAUUGCGGGUGAUAAACCGGAGAAGGUGUGCGGAUAACGUCCAAAUCAUCAUGCCCCCUUAAUGACCCGGGCUAACACACUUCAUACAAUGAAUGUUACAACAAGUCGUCCAACCUGCGAGGGUGCGCAAUUCUCUUAAAACCAUUCCUCAGUUCGAUUGCAGGCUGCAACUCGCCUACCUGAGGUCGGUAAUACGACAUAGUAAUCGCGGAUCAGCACCCCGUGAUCUCUCUCCCAGGCUAUAUA
rnacentral:rRNA from 1 species